UGGGGGAUAUUGCACAAUGGGCGAAAGCCUGAUGCAGCGACGCCGCGUGGGGGAUGAAGGCCUUCGGGUUGUAAACUUCUUUUGCUCUGAACAAGGCGCACCAUGGGGUGUGUUGAGUGUAGGGGUUGAUUAGCGCCGGCUAACUACGUGCCAGCAGCCGCGGUAAUACGUAGGGCGCGAGCGUUGUCCGGAAUUAUUGGGCGUAAAGGGCUUGUAGGUGGCUGGUUGCGUCUGUCGUGAAAGCUCAUGGCUUAACUGUGGGUUUGCGGUGGGUACGGGCUGGGUUGAGUUCAGUAGGGGAGGCUGGAAUUCCUGGUGUAGCGGUGGAAUGCGCAGAUAUCAGGAGGAAUACCGGUGGCGAAGGCGGGUCUCUGGGCUGUUACUGACACUGAGGAGCGAAAGCAUGGGGAGCGAACAGG
rnacentral:rRNA from 1 species